GUGCUUGAUUAGCAGCACAUGUACUAAAAUUGGAGUUAUAAGAAGAUUGGCAUGGCCCCUGCUCAAGGAUGACACACAAAUUCGUGAAUCAUUCCAUAUUUUU
rnacentral:snRNA from 1 species